ACGCUCUCUUCAGCAGCACAUACACUAAAAGUGGAACAGCACAGAGAUUAGCAUGGCUCCUGUACAAGGGUAACUCACAUUGGGUGAAGUCCUCCAUUUUUUA
rnacentral:snRNA from 1 species